CCUCGGUGGCAGCAGUGAGGAAUAUUGGUCAAUGGGCGCGAGCCUGAACCAGCCAAUUCUCGUGAGGGAAGACGGUCCUAUGGAUUGUAAACCUCUUUUGUCGGGGAGCAAAAGACGCCACGCGUGGCGUUCCGAGAGUACCCGAAGAAAAAGCAUCGGCUAACUCCGUGCCAGCAGCCGCGGUAAUACGGAGGAUGCGAGCGUUCUCCGGAGUUAUUGGGUUUAAAGGGUUCGCAGGCGGAAGAUGAAGUCAGCGGUAAAAUUGAGAGGCUCAACCUCUUCGAGCCGUUGAAACUGGUUUGCUUGAGGGAGCGAGAAGUAUGCGGAAUGCGUGGUGUAGCGGUGAAAUGCAGAGAUAUCACGCAGAACUCCGAUUGCGAAGGCAGCAUACCGGCGCUCAACUGACGCUCAUGCACGAAAGUGUGGGUAUCGAACAGGAUUAGAUACCCGAGUAGUC
rnacentral:rRNA from 1 species